UACAGAGGUCUCGAGCGUUGUUCGGAUUCAUUGGGCGUAAAGGGUGCGUAGGUGGCUAGGUAAGUCGGAUGUGAAAUCCCGGGGCUCAACCCCGGAACUGCAUUCGAUACUGCCUGGCUAGAGUACUGGAGAGGAGAUUGGAAUUUACGGUGUAGCAGUGAAAUGCGUAGAUAUCGUAAGGAAGACCAGUGGCGAAGGCGGAUCUCUGGACAGUUACUGACACUGAGGCACGAAGGCCAGGGGAGCAAACGGG
rnacentral:rRNA from 2 species